CACGUAGGGGGCAAGCGUUGUCCGGAUUUAUUGGGCGUAAAGAGCUCGUAGGCGGCUCAGUAAGUCGGGUGUGAAACCUCCAGGCUCAACCUGGAGACGCCACCCGAUACUGCUGUGGCUUGAGUCCGGUAGGGGAGCGUGGAAUUCCUGGUGUAGCGGUGAAAUGCGCAGAUAUCAGGAGGAACACCGAUGGCGAAGGCAGGUCUCUGGGCCAUAACUGACGCUGAGAAGCGAAAGCAUGGGGAGCGAACAGG
rnacentral:rRNA from 1 species